AAAUCGUCUAUCUUAAAUUUUCAAAGGGAAAUAACUCCCAUAAGAUGUCUUCCGAUCACUCAAGUCAAAUAAACCAAAUCAUUCUCAAGAGUAGACGAACAAUUUGGUGAAAACAGUUUGUUAAAAUCUUUUACGGUUUUAGACAUAUAGCGAUAACAAGAAAAAGGGGACGCAGGGAGAUAACUCCUAUAAGAAUAAGUGUUUGGUCACACAGGGUGAGUUUUGAAACCCCCAUUACUGUUCAACAUCAUUGGCCAAAAAAUCCAUUCGAUAUGUUGUAAGACAAAAAAGCAUCUCAGACGGCAGAAGAAAAACAAAAUAAUCAGAAGAAAAACAAAAGGUCUUUCCACGAAAACUA
rnacentral:lncRNA from 1 species